CUUAUCUAAGUCAUGUGGGAAGGGUGGAUCUUUGCAGUAAGCCAUUUUCCAGGAUAGGAAGGGUGGGAGGAUUUCAUAAACUAUUUUCCAGGAUCAUAGGGCUCAGGCAAAAUUCAAUAUAGCUGGGUUACAAAUUAUACCUUUCCUAUUUCUCAUAUUGUUGUAUUUUAGAUAAAGUAUAAAGUAUAGGCUUUAGCAUGAACUGAGACUCCUGGAUGUAGAGGGGCAGAGCUCUGUGGAAGAGAAGACUGGGGUAAAGGACUCAUUUCAUGAUUUCCUUGGCAAACUGAUCCAUUUGGAACAAGCUUCCUUGGUACCACGGCUCUUGGCAUUUCUCUCUGACCCACAAGUGAAUCAAUGAGAAAUAAAAUGAGGCAAUAUCCGUGUAAAUGCUGAAGUCUCACUUUAGUUCAACCCAUGUUGAUUCUGCAGCCACUGAGGGCCUUUGGCUCUUUGACCAUGCUCUGGUGAGUCCUUGCCUUUAGCUCAGCAUUGAAAUGCUGCUCACAAACAGAUUUCUGCUGCAGAAUUCUCUCAGCAUCCUAUGGACAUCUGAAUGUUUUCCCGUGCUGCUUACUUUGCCUCUUGGAAGAAUCCAGACACCUCCCUGUAUGAGGCAGCCUCUCCUAAUAGAGAAGAGUAUUUUGUGGCACCUCAAAGAAGAAGCAGUAAAACAUUCAGAAAUAUCUGAAGCAAGGUGAACUCUCCCUGGAAGACUUUCUCUCUCUCUCAUUGAACGUGAACCUCAGAGGCUGGAGCGGCUACUUCAAUCACUACUCAGGACCUGAGAAUGAACCAGCAGACUGAGGAUGGCAGAGUCAACCAAGUAAUAGAGAAAAAUGUGUCUCUUUCACAUUAUUUGAGCCCUGAAUCAGGCUUCUCCUAAAACCAGUUCUCCUAAAACUUCUCCUAAAACCAGUCCAUGAACCAAUAUAUUUCCAUUCUCCUUAAUGCAAUUUGAGUUAUUUUGUAUCAUUGCAUACUCACAGUCCUAUCUGAAAGAAUCAAUAAGCUUAACAUAUAAGAGAUACUCAAAGAGGUUUUUGAGUGAAUGAAUGAAUCAAGCAUUUAUCUUUAAUGUACCACACAGCUGAAUACACACACACACUUCAGCCUUUCACGGUUCCUUUCUUCAAAUGCAUUCAAAGAGCAUCAGUUUAAAUUUUUGUGGGUACACACUUAGUAUUAUUGUAACAAAGCAAUUUUUUUUUUUUUUUUGGGUGCUGGGGAUCAAACCCAGGGCCUUGUGCUUACAAGGCAAGCACUCUACCGACUGAGCUAUCUCCCCAGCCCCCAUAACAAAGCAAUUUUUACACUUUUAAUGUUUAAAGCUAAGCAUCAUCUUUCCAGUGGGGGGGGGGAAGAAAAUUUAAAAACAAAAAAGAUUACAAUGCAGAAUGUCAAUUCCACAUAAGAUCCUACAGGUUUCACAUGUUUAAAUUUAAAAUCAAUAAAUGUCAGGUAUGAUUUUGUUUGAAGAUGAGUAGAGUUCAUGUGGAGGGAACCAGAAGGAAUGACACUAAAGAUGGUGAAAAGAAGAAAAUUUUUGGAAGAUUUCCAAACCAAGGGGUUACCUUCUCAGAAGAGAGACAAAAUUAGAAUCCCUUCAAAAUAUUUGGAUACUAUUAUGGUUC